UACGGAGGGUGCAAGCGUUGUCCGGAAUCACUGGGCGUAAAGGGCGCGUAGGCGGCUCAUGAAGGCUGUGGUGAAAGUCCGGGGCUCAACCUCGGAUCGGCCGUGGCGACUCGUGGGCUGGAGCACUGUAGAGGCGGGUGGAAUUCCGGGUGUAGCGGUGGAAUGCGUAGAGAUCCGGAAGAACACCAGUGGCGAAGGCAGCUCUCUGGGACGGUACUGACGCUGAGACGCGAAAGCGUGGGGAGCGAACAGG
rnacentral:rRNA from 1 species